rnacentral:ncRNA from 1 species
CCUUGGGAGAGUUAUAAAAACUGAAGUAGCCUUUAGCAAAACAGGACUCGAUGAAUAAGGAA